UGGACGGAUUGGAGGAGAGAGGGAGGUGCCUGUGCUGUGCAAGGUAGGACAGUCCCCACCUGCUCCUGUGAAGGUACCUUCCCUGUCUGCAGGAAGACACGCUGGGGCAAAUGACGUGGCCAUCAGCCAUCAGCCCUGCGGCCAUCAGCGAAGGUCCUCGUGGUGUGUCAUCAAGAACACGACUGGGUCCAAAAUACCAGGGCAGGGGGAGAGAGGCCUUUGCAUAACUGGUUACACCCAGCAACCACAGCGCCCUGAAUUCCCCAACCCACACAGUCUGUGCUUGACUCGAUUCAUCUUCCUAAAGCUUGUUGAAUCACACUUUUCCUUGUUUGAGAUGAUGAAGUCAGAGUUCACUACUUUACAACACAAAGUCCAAAUCUGGGAUGGCCAGUGCCAUGGGCAGGGUCGGGGUGCCAGGCUGUACAAGUCCACACAGUGCUGGGUGGACUGGCCUCUGAGAGCAGGCUGGGGUCACUGAGGCAGGUGGGGACCUGGCGAGUCCCCCACUGAGUGUCCACUGACAGGUGGGGCUGGCUGGGCUCAGAGCAAAUGGGAGAGGUACACGCAUCAGCAGUAAGCUUGGUGCCCAAGAAGGCCGGCAAGUGUGGACCAGUGUGAGCACAGGGUCAGAGGCAGGCUGGGAUGGGCUGGCAGAGGCUCCCUGGGUGCUGUCCAUCAGGUUAUCUGUGGAUUCGGGCCCACGGAAUAUGAGUAGGACGGCUUCCACUUGAGCAAAUGCUCAGAAGCCCAGUGGGUAUUCACAAGGCGGGGACAGGAGCUGGGCAGAAAUCCCAUCAUCAGAACUGAGUCCUGUAGCCAGGGGAUUGGAUUGCACUGUGGCUCUGAAAGGUGCCCCAGAAGAGAGAUUUCCCACGAGUUCGAUCCCUGGUCUGGGAAGAUCCCACAUGUGGCAGGGCAACUAAGCCUGGCACCAUGACUGCUGAGUCCACUCCCUAGAGCCUGCACGUGGCAACUGCUGAGCCCACGAGCUGCAGCUAAAGAAGGCCAGUGUGCUCCAGGGCCCAUGAGCCACAACUUCCGCAGCCUGCGACCCUAGAGCCCGUGUUCCACAACAGGAGAAGCCCGCACACUGCAACGAAGAGUAGCUCCUGCUCAACUCGACUAGAGAAAGCCCGAGCCCAGCAGCAAAGACCCAGCACAACCAAAAUAAAAAUAAAUGCAUGCUUAAAAAAAGGUAGAGAAAUCUCUCCACUGAGAGGCAUGGCUGGAUAUUCCGAGGUCCCAUCGCAGGGCAAGACAGACAGCAGCAAAGGUCACAGUGGGGGACCCAGCGGCUGCACUGCCCCGUUCCCAGCCUCGCCUCCAGCAGCAUCCCGGGGACAGAGGUCUGCUGGAGAACAGUGGACGACGCUUGAGGUUGGGAGUGACAGGCCAAUUUCACCCCGAUUCAUCACUGAGGGGGCCUGGCUGCUUGUUGAAAUGACGGUCUGCUGAUUUUGAAGCCUGGUGGAAUUCGAGGGUGGGGUACUU
rnacentral:lncRNA from 1 species